rnacentral:rRNA from 1 species
GAUGAAUGCUGGCGGCGUGCCUAACACAUGCAAGUCGAGCGGCAGCGCAGUCUUCGGACUGGCGGCGAGCGGCGGACGGCUGAGUAACGCGUGGGAACGUACCCCAAAGUGAGGAAUAACUGCCCGAAAGGGUAGCUAAUGCCGCACAUGGUCUUCGGAUUAAAGGAUUUAUCCGCUUUGGGAACGGCCUGCGUACGAUUAGAUUGUUGGUGAGGUAAUGGCUCACCAAGUCGACGAUCGUUAACUGGUCUGAGAGGAUGAUCAGUCAGACUGGAACUGGGACACGGUCCAGACUCCUACGGGAGGCAGCAGUGAGGAAUCUUCCACAAUGGGCGAAAGCCUGAUGGAGCAACGCCGCGUGCAGGAUGAAGGCCUUCGGGUCGUAAACUGCUUUUAUAAGUGAAGAAUAUGACGGUAACUUAUGAAUAAGCACCGGCUAACUACGUGCCAGCAGCCGCGGUA